AGUGAGUGAGUGAUUGCCGGAGCACAUUACUGGAGGGGACAGAAAGGGAUACGAUCACAGGCAGAAAAUGAAGGAUGUAACCUAGGCAAGGGAAGAAUCAAUUUGUCUUCUGAGACCAUAAUAAAAGAGGAUGAGAUGGAGAGUAGCCCAGAAGGGGAGAUGAAGUUGCUCGUAAAGGAUUGCCUCCAUCUUUCAGCAAACACGCUGGUGGCCCUUGGCUCCUGGAAGCUCACCAUAUUGGUGCAAGAGUAACAACAGAUACCAGAUCAACUUUAACUCUCCUGUAGCUCAAAACACCCAAGCUCAAGUAACCACCAGUCUCAGUUUCCCUAGUAGCAAAGAAUACAGGUUAUGGGACGAGUCGGCUCUAGAUUUAGUGCAGCUCCCAAACAGCAUUGAUUCUAGCAAAGUUUAUGGACGAAUGCAGCUUGACUACUUAAUAAGCCCUCAUCCUAGAUUCCACUGGCCAGGUCUGGAAGGGCAUUCCUUGUUCCUUGGGACAUUAAUGUUGGACUGGCUACAAAACCCAGCCUGGAAUUCUGAGACAUCAAAGCACUCUUUGGACUCUAAUGCCAGUAUGCUCUGGAUUUUAUGAAACUCACCAUGGAGACUUCAUUCUCUUCACUUAGAAGAGAAAAAAAUGGAAAGGCCAAGGAACCAAGCCUUUUGAUGGGGCCAUAUGGCCUUGGAAAAGAGAAGUUUACAUGAACUCUUCCCUCAUGACCAUUGUUUCUGAGUGAAUGCUGUAAGAGAAGUCCCCAAAUGAGAAAAAGUAGCUGAAGCUACAAUACCCUGUGAAAGCUUCUGCAUACAAAGAGCCUCCUCUUCAAUCCAUGGUUAGAUGACCAGAGUCAGUUCUAGAAUAUUCAUAAUCACUUCAUUGUCUCUCUGAACUGUUUUCAUUCUAAGUCAUUGUGACUCUGUAGGAAGCAAGCUGUGGAGCUUUUGCCUUCUUAUGGAGGUGGCAUCUCAAGCAAUCUGAGGCACCCUGUGUGCCAGUCCCAUAUUACAAAUAAAAUAUGUAAGGUCCUGUACUUGGUAUUGAAUGAGGCAUGCAAAAUAAAAGAGAAACAAGAUGCUG